UACAGAGGUCUCAAGCGUUGUUCGGAUUCACUGGGCGUAAAGGGUGCGUAGGCGGCGCUGUAAGUCGGGUGUGAAAUCUCGGAGCUUAACUCCGAAACUGCAUUCGAUACUGCCGUGCUUGAGGACUGGAGAGGAGACUGGAAUUUACGGUGUAGCGGUGAAAUGCGUAGAUAUCGUAAGGAAGACCAGUGGCGAAGGCGGGUCUCUGGACAGUUCCUGACGCUGAGGCACGAAGGUGAGGGGAGCAAACGGG
rnacentral:rRNA from 1 species